AGAGUUUGAUCAUGGCUCAGAACGAACGCUGGCGGCGCGCCUAAUACAUGCAAGUCGAGCGAGAAGGUGUAGCAAUACACUUGUAAAGCGGCGAACGGGUGAGGAAUACAUGGGUAAUCUACCAUCGAGUGGGGAAUAACCAACCGAAAGGUUGGCUAAUACCGCGUACGCCUCCGAGUCUUCGGGUUCGGAGGGAAAGCUGCACUGUGAGUGUAGCGCUCUUUGAUGAGCUCAUGUCCUAUCAGCUUGUUGGUAGGGUAACGGCCUACCAAGGCUUUGACGGGUAGCUGGUCUGAGAGGACGAUCAGCCACACUGGCACUGCGACACGGGCCAGACUCCUACGGGAGGCAGCAGUAAGGAAUAUUGCGCAAUGGGCGAAAGCCUGACGCAGCGACGCCGCGUGGGGGAUGAAGGUCUUCGGAUUGUAAACCCCUUUCGGGAGGGAAGAUGGAGCGAGCAAUCGUUCGGACGGUACCUCCAGAAGCAGCCACGGCCAACUUCGUGCCAGCAGCCGCGGUAAUACGAAGGUGGCAAGCGUUGUUCGGAUUCACUGGGCGUACAGGGUGUGUAGGCGGUUUGGUAAGCCUUCUGUUAAAGCUUCGGGCCCAACCCGGAAAGCGCAGAGGGUACUGCCAGGCUAGAGGGUGGGAGAGGAGCGCGGAAUUCCCGGUGUAGCGGUGAAAUGCGUAGAGAUCGGGAGGAAGGCCGGUGGCGAAGGCGGCGCUCUGGAACAUACCUGACGCUGAGACACGAAAGCGUGGGGAGCAAACAGGAUUGGAUACCCUGGUAGUCCACGCCC
rnacentral:rRNA from 1 species